UGCAGGGAAUUUGAUGCUAUGUUGCAACUGGUUUUAUGGAUCAAGUGAUGACUCAGUUUACAUGUUAUUUGGUAAGGGGCACUGUUUUUGAAAUGUGCGAAUGGACUGUUGGUGUUUAGAUGUAGAUGUAUGUUUAGAAAUUUGGAUUUUUCUGAAUGGUCUUUUGGUUACCUCUGUUAUUAUUGUGUGCAGCAAGGAGCUUUUUUUGGAACAUGAUGAAGCUUGAGAUGGUGCGGUAACAUGAAGAAACUGGUUCAGGAGUAUCACAUAAACAUUAGUGUCCAUGUUGUAAUGUACCGUGGUUUUAAAAAUGUAACGAAGCAUGACUCUCUUUUUUGUAAAUGGAUUGUGGCUUUGACCCAUGUAGUAGAAUAAUACUUUUCGAGCAUGGUUGAAAAUGACAAUUCUUUCUUUGUAAUAUGACCUGAACAUAUGUAUGUAUUCUUAGAUUUUUUUUGAAAA